rnacentral:sRNA from 1 species
UGGACAGCACUGAAAAAACGAAAGCCCUCUCUUUGUCCUUAGCACAAAUUCCUGCUAAUGUGCCUCAACACUGAACGUAAAGAGAACACUUUUAGGGGUGAGAGAAUAAUUCAGUAUCAAUGCCCUUUGAUCCUUUGUUCUC